rnacentral:rRNA from 1 species
AGAGUUCGAUUCUGGCUCAGGAUGAACGCUAGCGACAGGCUUAACACAUGCAAGUCGAGGGGCAGCGAGGGAGUGGCAACACUUCUGUCGGCGACCGGCGCACGGGUGAGUAACGCGUAUGCAACCUGCCCUUCACAGGGGGAUAACCGGGAGAAAUUCCGACUAAUACCGCAUACGUCCUCCGGGGGCAUCCCCGGAGGAUGAAAGAUUUAUCGGUGAAGGAUGGGCAUGCGUGAUAUUAGGUAGUUGGCGGGGCAACGGCCCACCAAGCCUACGAUAUCUAGGGGUUCUGAGAGGAAGGUCCCCCACAUUGGUACUGAGACACGGACCAA